rnacentral:rRNA from 1 species
CCUACGGGCGGCAGCAGUGAGGAAUAUUGGUCAAUGGACGAGAGUCUGAACCAGCCAAGUAGCGUGAAGGAUGACUGCCCUAUGGGUUGUAAACUUCUUUUAUAAAGGAAUAAAACGAGGCACGUGUGCCUUUUUGCAUGUACCUUAUGAAUAAGGAUCGGCUAACUCCGUGCCAGCAGCCGCGGUAAUACGGAGGAUCCGAGCGUUAUCCGGAUUUAUUGGGUUUAAAGGGAGCGUAGAUGGGUUGUUAAGUCAGUUGUGAAAGUUUGCGGCUCAACCGUAAAAUUGCAAUUGAUACUGGCAGUCUUGAGUAUAGUUGAGGUAAGCGGAAUUCGUGGUGUAGCGGUGAAAUGCUUAGAUAUCACGAAGAACCCCGAUUGCGAAGGCAGCAUACUAAACUGUGACUGACAUUGAUGCUCGAAAGUGUGGGUAUCAAACAGGAUUAGAUACCCGAGUAGUC